GAUGAACGCUGGCGGCGUGCCUAAUACAUGCAAGUCGAGCGAACAGACGAGGAGCUUGCUCCUCUGACGUUAGCGGCGGACGGGUGAGUAACACGUGGAUAACCUACCUAUAAGACUGGGAUAACUUCGGGAAACCGGAGCUAAUACCGGAUAACAUGCUGAACCGCAUGGUUUAACAGUGAAAGACGGUCUUGCUGUCACUUAUAGAUGGAUCCGCGCCGCAUUAGCUAGUUGGUAAGGUAACGGCUUACCAAGGCAACGAUGCGUAGCCGACCUGAGAGGGUGAUCGGCCACACUGGAGCUGAGACACGGUCCAGACUCCUACGGGAGGCAGCAGUAGGGAAUCUUCCGCAAUGGGCGAAAGCCUGACGGAGCAACGCCGCGUGAGUGAAGAAGGUCUUCGGAUCGUAAAACUCUGUUAUUAGGGAAGAACAAAUGUGUAAGUAACUAUGCACGUCUUGACGGUACCUAAUCAGAAAGCCACGGCUAACUACGUG
rnacentral:rRNA from 1 species